AAAAGAAAACAGAAUUGUCAGGAAAGAAACAAUGCUACAAGUUGUGCUAACAGUCAUCAGCCUUGCUGUAUUCUUAACAUUUGUCACUCUCAACACAUUCUCAAAGCAUAUCACUCCUGUGUUUCCAUUGCCCGUGAAAGAGAAGUCAAAGGCUUGUUUAAGCUAAAAGAUAUGUUAGAAGGGCAUAAAUACCAGAUAGCUGUUAAGAUAGCACAAAGCAUUGACUGCUGAAAAGUUGUACAUCUUCAGUCUUGCAUUUACUCUUUCUUUGAGGUAGCCUACUAUAAUAGCAGUUGUCCUAAAACUUCUGUAACUCAUGAAUAUUACUGAAUAUUACAAUUUCUUGAUAUGGGAAUUUUUUCCACAGAAGAAAAAUAAUCUGCCAGGUAUUUUUAAAACUCUGAAUUUUCUUUGUUUUGAAAUUGUCAGAAUAUCUCACUUAUGUUUUUUGAAAAGCCAGAUUCGACAGUUCUUGUUCAGAAAGACUUUUUAAUGUCUUACCAUUAAUAAAAUGUAAGUUAACAUAACUUAAAAGUUUUGUCAGUUGUAGAACAGAUUAAGGCUUAUUUCAUCUGCUUGUGGAAAACAACUCAGAAUUUCUUGCAUGAUAUAAAACAUGCUUCACUUUCCACAUCUGACAUUUGGUGGUCCUCUUCUAUGAUGUAUUUGUUGUGGCUGUCCAAUACAUUUUGCUGCUGCUAUCAGGCUCAACUACAGACUGUAGCUGAAUUCUCCUUAGUGAGAGCUUUCCUUGGGUAAGGGUUUGUAGGAAACAGGAAAGAAACAUGGUAGAUACUGCAGCAUAAUAAUAUAACUUAGAUACUAACACCACAAAGGUGAAAGAAAGACUUCUUUCUGUGUCUCUUGCAGGCAGUACUUCCCAGGAAGCUGUGUUUGCUGUUAAGCCUGUACACAAACCUAACCUGGUGGCAUAGUGAGCCCAGGAAAUUUUUGUUGUCUUUGCUUCUGCUUUCUUUCCUGGGAGUUUUUUCCUGUCUGAUAUUAAGCAGCAGUAUGUGACAUUGUGACAUGCUCUGUGUGCGUGUGUGUGUGUGUGUGUGUGUAUAAUGUGCAAAACAAAGCAAGUUUUACAGUAACUGGUUUACAAUCUUAGGCAAUGAUUAUUACAUUGAGAAAAAGCAUAACUGAAAAUAGCCAUACUAAGCAUUUGGAUGAGCCAUCUUAGGACUGCAGUUAGUUUUGUCUUUUUUGUACUGCUGAGCAUUACUACUAGCAGUGUUUCAGUGAAAAGCACUGUUGCACAAGAAUCUAGAGCAGAUAUGAUUAGUCUGGUAGGUAAUCAUAAAUUAGGCUGCUAGUAGUAUCUGAAGAAUGAAGCUGCCUUUGGUGGUUUUCCAUGUCAGGGUGUACUAAUGGCAUAUCUCUCAUACCUCUGGCACUCAGGGAACAGCAUACAGGAAAUUGACUCACCACGCCUUGAUAUAACAACAUGAGCUUUAUACUUCCAGAUGUUCCCCUCAGAAUAAGGAGUGCAGCUGUGACCUCACCGUUCCUGUGGAGCUGUGUGUUGACCUUGGGGCUACCGGACAGUCCCAGCCUCUUCCAGGGCUCCAGGUCUGCCUUGGCUGCUACCAGCUAUUUCUGCAUCACAGUUGCUUGUCUUUAUACCUGUUGGAGGGAGAUCUUGUGGAAAUAUGAUCUUUAAUGGUUAGGCAGUGAAACUGUUUGCUUGCAGCAUUCAAGUGGACUGCCUCUGCAUAGCUAAACUCAGCAGACUGACUGGCUGUUCCAAGGCAUGUAUUUACCACUGGCUUAUCCCAUUUGAAGAUGUCACUCAGAAUUCAUUCAAGUAGAGGUAAG